rnacentral:rRNA from 1 species
UACGUAGGGCGCAAGCGUUGUCCGGAAUUAUUGGGCGUAAAGAGCUCGUAGGCGGCCUGUUGCGUCCGCUGUGAAAUCCCGGGGCUUAACCCCGGGCUUGCAGUGGAUACGGGCAGGCUGGAGGCAGGCAGGGGGAGAACGGAAUUCCCGGUGUAGCGGUGAAAUGCGCAGAUAUCAGGAGGAACACCGGUGGCGAAGGCGGCACUCUGGGACGGUACUGACGCUAAGGCGCGAAAGCGUGGGGAGCGAACAGG